rnacentral:rRNA from 1 species
UACGGAGGGUCCAAGCGUUAUCCGGAAUCAUUGGGUUUAAAGGGUCCGUAGGCGGCCCGGUAAGUCAGUGGUGAAAUCUCCCCGCUCAACGGGGAAACGGCCAUUGAUACUGCCGGGCUUGAAUAACCAGGAAGUAACUAGAAUAUGUAGUGUAGCGGUGAAAUGCUUAGAUAUUACAUGGAAUACCAAUUGCGAAGGCAGGUUACUACUGGUUCAUUGACGCUGAUGGACGAAAGCGUGGGUAGCGAACAGG